rnacentral:rRNA from 1 species
GGACGGGUGAGUAACGCGUGAGGAACCUGCCUUGAAGAGGGGGACAACAGUUGGAAACGACUGCUAAUACCGCAUGAUGCAUAAGGGUCGCAUGAUUCUUAUGCCAAAGAUUUAUCGCUUCAAGAUGGCCUCGCGCCCGAUUAGCUAGUUGGCGGGGUAACGGCCCACCAAGGCGACGAUCAGUAGCCGGACUGAGAGGUUGAACGGCCACAUUGGGACUGAGAUACGGCCCAGACUCCUACGGGAGGCAGCAGUGGGGAAUAUUGGGCAAUGGGCGCAAGCCUGACCCAGCAACGCCGCGUGAAGGAAGAAGGCUUUCGGGUUGUAAACUUCUUUUAAGAGGGAAGAGCAGAAGACGGUACCUCUAGAAUAAGCCACGG